rnacentral:rRNA from 1 species
UACGUAGGGUGCAAGCGUUAAUCGGAGUUACUGGGCGUAAAGCGUGCGCAGGCGGUGAUGUAAGACAGAUGUGAAAUCCCCGGGCUCAACCUGGGAACUGCAUCCGAGACUGCAUUGCUAGAGUAUGGGAGAGGGAAGCGGAAUUUCUGGUGUAGCAGUGAGAUGCGUAGAUAUCAGAAGGAACAUCAGUGGCGAAGGCGGCUUCCUGGACCAAUACUGACGAUCAGGUGCGAAAGCGUGGGGAGCAAACGGG